GCCAGCAGCCGCGGUAAUACGUAGGGUGCGAGCGUUGUCCGGAAUUAUUGGCGUAAAGGGCUCGUAGGCGGUUUGUCGCGUCGGGAGUGAAAACCAGGUGCUUAACACUGGCUUGCUUUCGAUACGGGCAGACUAGAGGUAUGCAGGGGAGAACGGAAUUCCUGGUGAGCGGUGAAAUGCGCAGAUAUCAGGAGGAACACCGGUGGCGAAGGCGGUUCUCUGGGCAGACCUGACGCUGAGGAGCGAAAGUGUGGGGAGCGAACAGGAUUAGAUACCCUGGUAGUCACACCGUAAACGUUGGGCGCUAGGUGUGGGGUCCAUUCCACGGAUUCCGUGCCGCAGCUACGCAUUAAGCGCCCCGCCUGGGGAGUACGGCCGCAAGGCUAAAACUCAAAGGAAUUGAGGGGGCCCGCACAAGCGGCGGAGCAUGCGGAUUAAUUCGAUGCAACGCGAAGAACCUUACUGGGUUUGACAUACACCCUGCCGCUCCAGAGAUGGGGCUUCUUUUGGGGGUGUACAGGGGUGCAUGGCUGUCGUCAGCUCGUGUCGUGAGAUGUUGGGUUAAGUCCCGCAACGAGCGAACCCUCGUUCUAUGUUGCCAGCACGUAAUGGUGGGGACUCAUAGGAGACUGCCGGGGUAACUCGGAGGAAGGUGGGGAUGACGUCAAGUCAUCAUGCCCCUUAUGUCCAGGGCUUCAGCAUGCUACAAUGGCCGGUACAAAGGGCUGCGAUCCCGUAAGGGGGAGCGAAUCCCAAAAGCCGGUCUCAGUUCGGAUUGGGGUCUGCAACUCGACCCCAUGAAGUCGGAGUCGCUAGAAUCGCAGAUCAGCAACGCUGCGGUGAAUACGUUCCCGGGCCUUGCACACACCGCCCGU
rnacentral:rRNA from 1 species